AAGGAGGUCACAUUAUAUGCCAUGUUGCGCCCAGAAGUUGUGGCUAAGGCAGUAGUUAUUUCAACAAAUCCAAGCAAUGUACUAGGAGGCCAGCCUCUUGGAAGGCUAUUUUGUGAAGUUGUUGUGAAGGUUGUGAUUAAGAGGAAUACAACGCUACCUCGCCCUUAUGGUGACAUUGAGACUUUGGCUGAUGCUAUGUCAAUGCCAGUCCAGUGGCCAUACAAAAGAUUAAAGCUUACAACGGCAUCACAUUCAUCCCAGUCUACUGUAGGUUGUCCUGCUCCUGCAAGGUCCUAGGCAACGUACCUGCUGGUGUCCACAAGUUAAAAGUGCUCAUCGAAGUUGUGUUUAUUUUGAGCCUAUUAGAUAUAUGACUAUGAGCUCACUGUUAAUGAAAUUUGAGUUGUGGCUUUGGGUGUUAGUGAGCUAAGAUUUUGGUCACAAGUGGUGGAUGUAUGACUUCUGGUCACAUGAGGUAGAUGUAGGGAUGCUGAUGGCUUGCUCAUGUACAA